rnacentral:rRNA from 1 species
AGUGAACGCUGGCGGUAGGCCUAACACAUGCAAGUCGAACGGCAGCACAGUAAGAGCUUGCUCUUACGGGUGGCGAGUGGCGGACGGGUGAGGAAUACAUCGGAAUCUACUUUUUCGUGGGGGAUAACGUAGGGAAACUUACGCUAAUACCGCAUACGACCUACGGGUGAAAGCAGGAGAUCUUCGGACCUUGCGCAAUUGAAUGAGCCGAUGUCGGAUUAGCUAGUUGGCGGGGUAAAGGCCCACCAAGGCGACGAUCCGUAGCUGGUCUGAGAGGAUGAUCGGCCACACUGGAACUGAGACACGGUCCAGACUCCUACGGGAGGCAGCAGUGGGGAAUAUUGGACAAUGGGCGCAAGCCUGAUCCAGCUAUACCGCGUGGGUGAAGAAGGCCUUCGGGUUGUAAAGCCCUUUUGUUGGGAAAGAAAAGCAGCAGGUUAAUACCCCGCUGUUCUGACGGUACCCAAAGAAUAAGCACCGGCUAACUUCGUG